GGCAGUGCGGAUGCCGUAUUCAGCAGGAUUGAAUGGAAGUAUUGAGAUGAACACUGAGGCCUUGACGCGCUAUCAAUUCACGUAUUCAAGUAGGAGGAUGAGAGCAGAUCUUCCACACACGAGGAAUUGUGCCACACGUAAGAGGUUGACUGGAGGAACCUUGUGCUGCCCACAGUGAUUUGUUUGGGUAAAGACGACUGUGUUAUUAGAAAGUAGUAGGUUCUAAAACUUGUCCAACUGAAAAGAUGUGAAAUGAAAAGUGAAAGGGAAAUCAGUGAAGGAUGAAGAAGAAUAGAGGCAUGAAGCAAUACAGGAAUAUCAGCAACAAUAAGGUGAGGCCAUUCAGUCAUCCAUUGAGGCGCAAAGGCAGAAAAAGAAAAGGUUAGUGACUUGUCUUGCUUUGCUUUAGAGUGGUAGUUCCGAAUCUGGUGUAUUAUGGCAGCUUGGUGGACAACAGAGUGGUGACAAAAAAAAAAAAGUAGACAAAAAAUUGAGGACUUGGGGAAGCUGAGAAAAUAGUGUGGUGCUUCUCUAGCUCAUCAAAGAAGAUAUCAGUGAUCAUUUCAAGGGACUCAAGACAAACCAGAGUAAUUACUUUCCAAAGUGAAUUCAAGAAACCUGUAGUCUUCAGUGGAGUUUCUUUUAGUCUUCAGUGGAUUAUUCAUCCCACAACUGCACCGGAUGAGAUAAUUUCCUGCCAAGGAUGAGUGGACUACUAUGGGAGCCAACAAAGCUCUGAAGGUCAUAUAUUAAAACCAAGGUUUAUAUUCCAUCUAAAUUUCAUGCUUAUCUUCCUGUCGUAUGGCAAGGGUAGUUUGAAGUUGUUGGUAUUCAUUCUCAACAGCGUAUCUGUGCCGGAAAGCCUUCUUGACUCUAAUGGAAAUGAAAACAAAGAAAAGAUCUGCCAAGAUGUGGUAAACGAUGCCAGACUAGCAUUCUCAACCAUAGAGCCAAAUGCGCUUUCAACAGCUCGCUGAGAUGCUUCUCCCGGAGAUCCACUGAUUGAAUAAUUGAUUGUCGUUGUAAUUGGUAAUAAAAAUGCAUUGUUUUCAUUGACAGCACAAUCUUUAAAAUGUACUUGUUAUUAUUUUCUUGUUUAUUUUUACAUGAAUAUAAAUAUUAUCAGUUUCGAGGACUGAUUAAUAGCUUCAUUUGGGUAACGUGCUAAACAAGAGUGGAAAUCAUUGUCUUUUAGGCAUGUAGAGGCAGUCCAGCAGCAGCCAGUUUCCCCAAAUGGUAUUUCAUUAUUAGUUUUGGCACAAAUCUUGGUUGUUCGUCAAGCCCCUGAAUCCCUCAGCCGCAGUGUGUAACAACUUGCCAGCUUCCGGCCACCACCCAUCCAUAGCUCCCUAUCAUCUGCACAAAAUGAUUCUUGACUGCUGUUCAGUUUCUGUGCAAAGUUUUCUGAAUCACUCUGCAAAGUUUGUAAUGACUCAU